rnacentral:lncRNA from 1 species
GGAACUGAGGUCCUCGGACCUGGGCAGCAAAGCAGAGAGCCUGAGGUAGAGACCGAGGUUUGCCGGCUGACUCUGAGUCUAGUGUUGGGUUGUGCUUAUCAUCUUGGUUCCUGUUGAGUCCCAUGAGUGAAGUUAUCCUGUUGGUAUUUCGAGCAAAUAGAUCUGAAUAAUAACUACCACUUCAUUUUCCUAGGCCGUGGUAUUUAUUCCAAUAUGCUGGGGUUCCUUGGUGGUGUCUCCUGGGCAAUGCUGGUAGCCAGAACUUGCCAACUGUACCCAAACGCAGCAGCUUCAACCUUAGUCCACAAGUUCUUCUUAGUUUUCUCCAAAUGGGAAUGGCCAAAUCCUGUGCUGCUGAAGCAACCAGAAGAAAGCAACUUGAAUUUGCCUGUC